AUACUUACCUGGCGUAGGGAUACCGUGAUCAUGCAGGCGGUUCCCCCAGGGCGAGGCUGCUCCAUUGCACUGCAGAGUGGUUGACUCUUGCGAUUAUUGUUAUUUUUAUCAAUAAAAAUAAUAACAAAUGUAUACC
rnacentral:snRNA from 9 species